AGGUCCCACCUGCCCAGUGAAAAUUAUUUUAAACGGCCGCGGUAUCCUAACCGUGCAAAGGUAGCGCAAUCACUUGCCCAUUAAUUAUGGGCUAGUAUGAAUGGUUAAAUGAGGGCCUAACUGUCUCCUGUGGCUAAUCAAUGAACUUGAUAUUUCAGUACAAAUGCUGAAAUAACAUCACAAGACGAGAAGACCCUGUGGAACUUCAAAUAUUUACUAGCACUGCAUAAAUCAAACACGAAACCCUAGUGACCAUUUUAAGUUGGGGCAACUAUGGAGUAAAACAAAACCUCCAUGAAACACACCUAAUAAGUGUACACAAGGCCCACGCGCCAGCUAAAGUUUGACCCAGUAAGACUGACCUUCGACCCAAGCUACCCCAGGGAUAACAGCGCCAUCCCCUUAAAGAGUCCAUAUCACCAAGGGGGUUUACGACCUCGAUGUUGGAUCAGGACACCCAGG
rnacentral:rRNA from 1 species